UACGGAGGGUGCAAGCGUUGUCCGGAUUUAUUGGGUUUAAAGGGUGCGCAGGCGGGAAGGUUAGUUCGUGGUGAAAGACGAUCGCUCAACGAUUGCAGUGCCAUGAAUACUGCCUUUCUUGAAUCUGGUUGAGGCCGGUGGAAUUGACCGUGUAGCGGUGAAAUGCAUAGAUAUGGUCAAGAACUCCAAUUGCGAAGGCAGCCGGCUGGGCCAGCAUUGACGCUCAGGCACGAGAGUGCGGGGAUCAAACAGG
rnacentral:rRNA from 1 species